AUCCUCCUUUACUUUUAAUCUCCUUGGUUCCAAUAGAUCUACUAAUUUUAUUUGGCUCAGAAUUUGCCGGUCGUUUGGCUCCACAUUGAGUGGGCGUAGCCUGCGGCACUGAUUGACUGAUUGGCAACUGGCAACUGGCCAAGGAGAUUAAAAGUAGUUCUAAACUCCUUGCAACUGGCACACUGGCAGCUGGCAGCUGGCAACUUCCUCUUUUCGAAGAUGGCGGCGGGAAAGGCAAAGAGGCACCUCUUGUUGUCGAGGAGUUGUCAAUACACUGUCAAUUAGGCCUAAUAUUAUCACUGUUUCCACGGAAAAUUUUCGAUCAUGGCCUAGAUAUCUAGAUCUAGAGAUCUAGAUCUAGGUAGAUCCAAGGUUGUUUUGUGACAGCUUCUAGAAUCUAGAAACAUGCUGAUCAGGAGAGAGAUAGACACUCCAGAGUCUCUGGAAUGAGAACCCGGUGCUGCAAAUGCUCACGCCAUUAAGUUCAAGAUACUCCAGCUGAAGACGGUCACUCGGUCAGCCUUGUUUGGCGUGAUACGUUGGAGACUUGUGCUUGCCCAGACUCUACUCUUCAGUGUGAGACCGAAGACUGAAGUAUCGAAACAAGUCUUGACUGACCUGGUAACUUGGAAGAGUUCAGGAUGCUCUUUGAGGAGACUAUUGGGCAAAAUGGCAGUAGAACUGCUGGGGAAGUACAACACUGACACACAUUUUGUUGUUGUUGCUGAAGUGAAGUAUGUGACAAGUACAUCCUGCCUGGUUUUUCUUGUUAAGUGAUGUCUGCAAGAUUACAUACUGUGCAGAGCUCCUACCAGUUCACUGAGAUGUCCUUGGACGCUCGACAAAGAGAAUUAGUACUAUUGGUGUCAUAGACAGGCAAGGUCUACCACAGAGAAACAUCACCUUUUCUGACCGUGCCGUAGCUUCUUCAUAGUUCAUUCACGAGAUCAAUACGCAGAAUGCAAUCUACUAUUUGCUACAAAACUUCAGAAGCUUGAACAUAAGGGAUGGACAAACGGCCUUGUAAUUUCAACCCAUACAAUAUUGCUUGGCAAGUACUUUGGCACUGCCCUUCAAAACCUGGAAGUCAACGAGAAAAAGAGUGAUUUAAUCUUUGGAGGGAGAGCUGAUGGUGCAAUGACUCAGGUAAUUCCACCUCGAGCCGCAAGAGGAAAGUGAAUUGUUGAUGUCUUUCAUGAGGAGGCAAGAAGUCCCUUCUUCUUUCCUGCACAGCAAGAAGUGUGUGUGAUGCACCAGGAGGAAGUGGUGGCAGUCCUUCUUCCCCCACCCAGAAUUAAGAACAGUGGCAGACAUUUUUUCUCUUGAUUUUUUCUUUUUCUUCCCCCCACCCCCUUUUUAAAAUGUCUUUUUUCUAUUGUUUAUUUGCUGGGGGGGGGAUCAUUUAUAAAAAGUGUACAUUACAACGAUUUUUAUGGCCGCUCAAUUCGUUUUACUAAAUGUGGUAAUAUUCAUGGAUUAUGUAGCUUGCUUCAAGGUAAGGUAACCUUACUUUUUUCACCAGCCUUUGCUGUCUCUCAAACAUUUUACAUUCCUCUUUGAAAGACCUUACCGGUAUAAUACAAUAACCCUUUGAUAAUGUUCAGAAUCCUGAAACAAACAGGGGUCCUCACUGUGAAAUCCACCUCGUUGCUUUACCUGUACAAAUUCUUGAAGUCACUGGGGUCGCUUUCUCAGUUCGGUUCCUGCAGAAGAUUGGGACCCGAUACGCUCAUGGACAGGCAGAUGAUACAGGAUUGGUAAGGGAGGAACCUCCAGAAUUUUAUUCCUGGACUGUGCCUACCUCUUUCGACUUUGACUAUGAAAUUGAUCACAGGGGCCAAUUUUUAUUUUAAAAUUUGAUUCUCUUUGUUUUUGUAUUUUGUUGUUAUUUGUCUCUUUUUUUUUAAUCCCAAAAAUUACCUCCCUUUGUUUAUUUCAAUAAAAUUGUGUAUGAAAAUAA